rnacentral:rRNA from 1 species
GGACCCGCACAAGCGGUGGAGCAUGUGGUUUAAUUCGACGCAACGCGAGGAACCUUACCAGCGUUUGACAUCUCAGGAAGGCGGAAGAGAUUCUGCUGUGCCCUUUCGGGGGAACCUGAAGACAGGUGGUGCAUGGCUGUCGUCAGCUCGUGUCGUGAGAUGUUGGGUUAAGUCCCGCAACGAGCGCAACCCUUUUCGUAUGUUACCAUCAUUCAGUUGGGGACUCAUGCGAGACUGCCUUGGAUGACAAGGAGGAAGGUGGGGAUGACGUCAAGUCAUCAUGCCCCUUAUAUGCUGGGCUACACACGUGCUACAAUGGGUAGAACAAAGAGAAGCGAAAGCCGCGAGGCAGAGCGAAACUCAGAAAACUAUUCUCAGUUCGGAUUGUACUCUGCAACCCGGGUACAUGAAGUUGGAAUCGCUAGUAAUCGCAAAUCAGCAAUGUUGCGGUGAAUACG